UAUCUAUCUAUCUAUCUAUCUAUCCAACAUUCAGUCAUUCUAUUUGUUGUUAUAUACCUCUUUCUUUCAUUCUAGCAUUAGUUCUGUCUGUAUUUUUUUGUUCUACCGUUCUAUCCACGUAUUGUUCUAUCAUUCAUUCUAUCGUUCUGUCUACCUAUUGUUUAUUCUAUUGUUUCUUCUUUCUGUCAUUCAUUUUGUCUAUAAUGCCUGUAAACCUUUAAACCUCAACCUUUAAACCAUUUUCAAGCCAACAUUCGAAGUUUGUCUUGGCAUACUGUACAGUUUGGCAUACGUUUUCUAGUUAAAAUGACAGUUACACCGUGUCUAGACCGGACACAACAGUUUACUGCUCUGCAACAGCUAAUGGCUGUCUACACUGGACACAACAAAGCAACCAUUGCAGAACAUUUCACCGCUUCGUAAAUAGAACGAGGCAUCAUUUUACUGUCAGGGAUUAGUUGUGUCCAGUGUAGACAGCAUCACUUAUUAAUGGCUUCUGUUGUCUUUUAUUGCAACGCAUUGCGCCACUCUCAUCUGGUAUUAUAUGGAUUUCUUUGAAUUUCUGUUCAUUUAAAUUCUUCCUUGUAUAAAAAAAUGUAUUUCAAUUCUGCAUGUUUGCUACCUGAGUUUAAAUUCAUGAAUUUAAGUAUUUCUCAUUUCAAUUCUGAAUGGUUCAAUCCAGUUAGAAUUUUUUUUUUUAUAUUUUUCUCAUUUUGAGAGAGACCAGAUAAGGGCUGAUAACUUGGCUGGGCCUUGUUUCCUUUGAUCUGAUACAAGCUAAUGUAUAAAUAUACACCAUGCAUGUGUAACAGUUGCUUUGUUGACCUGUUAGUAUUUUUAGCACACUAAUUUCCCACCGGUAUCUGAGCUCAGGAUCAUCCAUCACACAGACGCAGCUCUGCUGUGAUUUACAGUUGUUCGGUUACCUUUGGCUGCCUUGGCCGAAAGUCAGCAUUAAGUGCUGACAGCUAAGCUCAUGUAAAUGCAGAUAUCCUGAUGGAAACAAACUCAGGAUUUGAUUUGGCGGACUGAAGGGUUGGUCUUGACAAUUUAUUGCUUUAGGUGGAUGGUUGUCUGUGUUGAUCAGUCAAAGCUUUUGAUGCUGAAGCCAGAGCUUCCUUGCGUGUGAAUGGAUUACCUCUGUUUUGUUUUAGAGCGCAAGUGUCUCAGCCUUUGGGAAGGGGACUAUUGCAAUGGUGUGUAACUCCUUUAGGAUCAUUGUUCUCAACAAAAUGACCCCCCGGGGUAUGUGACACUUUUCUCAAAGGCCUCUCAUGAGGGGUUUAACGGGUUAACGGCAAACAAAAGAAACUGAGAACAUGUAACUCAGCAGGGGGCCCAGUAGAAACUCCAGGCUGCCAUAAUCUCAACCCAGUCGCUUCCUGUUUGCUUUACCCAGAAUCAAGGGUCUGUCACAGGGCUGGAUUCGAGUUGGCAGCCACAUGUUGAUUUUAAAGCAUAUUUAUCAGCACCAUUGUAAGGAUUUGACUUGAGUGAAAUACUUAAUUUUCGUGUUUAGAAGAGUUUGUUGUUCUACAAGAAUACUAAAGCAGAUAUGUUUCACAAAAUAUGAAUGCUAAUAAAAAAAUUGCCAUUUAAUUUCAAAGGAUAGUUCACCCAAUCAUCUAUCAGUCUCAAGUUACAUGCACUGUGGAAAAAGCAGCUUUAAUGUAGCCUAUAUUGUAAAAUAUUAUCUUUUGUGUUCUUUGGAGAAAGAUAAUCAUAUGGAUUUGAAACAACAAAUAACACUUUCGUGCAUAAAAAUGGCAAUAAACGAGUUUAAAUAAAGCGUGUCAUGUGGUUGGCCCGAAUGUUUGAGCAUCUCAUUGACUGAAUGUGAAUUUCUGAUUUCCUCUACACAAGCUUCUCUCACCUUCAUAGGGCUUACUCAAUGAUUGUCAGUGCUCUGUCAGUCUAAUAAUCAAUAAUCAUACAAUUUAGAGUGUCAUGUUUGCAAAUGUUGCUAUUUAUUAAAGAACUUAGUUUACUCUUUGUAUGCAAACGAGCACUUAUCCUUGCUGUCUUUGUUCAGACAACGGUGGCGGUUUAUGUGUUGCACAAAAAUGCAAAACAAUUUUGGUUCAGCAAUUUCCUGCGCGGUGCAGGGGUGAAUGAUAAUUAUGCCUUUCCAUAUCAUUCCUGCUGUGCCCUUCCAGCAUUCUGCUGAAUCAGCAAUGGAUCAGGCAGCAGAAAAUGCCUUGAUUUCCAUGCUUAACGCUUUUUAUCAUGGCUGCAGAGAAAUGAGCUGAAGAACAGGACAGGCAGUGCGUGCCUCGGUCUGUAUUGCACUGCAGUCCAUAUAAUUGUAUGAAUUUCACCCAGUUAAGUUUGUUUGUCAGCCCGCAGCUGAACAUCUAGAGCUAGAGCUUUAUUCUCUCGGUUAGUGAAAGCCUGAGAUGAUAUCAGAGAUGUCAGAGUGCAAUAAAACUCAAUAAAACAUCCUUUUCAUGGUGAAUUUAGAAACACAAAAUUUUAUAAAUUCCAUUUGAUGAAGUCUAGCUUUUUGCCGGCCUCUAUAAUUGUAGAUGAUUGCCUCAAAUGAGCCUUAAAUGUUUAUUUUAAGUGUGGAAUUAAAAUAAAAAAUAAAAAAAAAACACAUUUGCUUCAACACAUUUGACCACUGUCUGAGAUCUCCUGUCCAUGUCUGAAGCAUAUUUUCUAAGAUAACAAAAGCCAAACCAAGGAAGAAAUCAGAAGGAACGCGUCCAGAAAUGACUGGAAGCAGAAAGGCAGGUUAAAAUGAUGUCUAAUUUCACAGUGUUGUCACAUUAUGAAGCUGGAAACAUUUAUUAAGCCACGAGAAUACAUUUUGUCAGGAUUUUAUUUGGAUAUAAUACAAACAUAUAUAGAAUGCAACAUUCGUUCAGAAGAUGCAUUAUUGAUAAAAAGGGAAUGAUUUUCUGGACAUGUUGUUCUGUUAUUGCUUCAUAAAUGAUUGCAUUCUUCCGAACAGUGUGGACAAACACCAUACUGAUAUAAUCAUAACAUGUUUUCCAGCCUGCUGAUUAUGUGUUAAAGGUUUGAAUCACUGUAAUGACUCACUGAGUAAGGGUGGUUCUUGAUUUAUUCACACACUUUAAUUGCGUCCAACUGGAAAUGAACCGCCAACUUUUAUUGUGUUGUUGUGUGUAUUUCAAGUCAAUAUGAAAUCAAAAUUGCCCCUAUGUCACUUUGUGCAGUCUAUUGAAUAAUAUUAACCGAAAGCCAAAUGGCAUUUUAAGCAUUGCAGUUGUUUUAUUUAUUCUAUUCUGUUUCAGUCUUAGACUCUGGUUGCUCUGUGAGCUGUGUAGUUCAAAUUCAGAUGACAUUUGGCAAGAUUAAUAGUAUUUUGAUAAUAGAAAGAUUAUAAAAUACAUGACCAAGAUUUUAAUGAAUUCAAUUAAGUAUUUGAAGACUAAAAGAAAAGUUUAUGCACUGUCAAAAAAGUGUACAAAAACUAUGAAAGGAACACUGUUGACCCUUAUCUGCUCCUAAGGUUUCACAUUAGUAUCUUGCUAAUAUCUAUCCUUUAGGGGUAGAAAAGGCACGAAGGUUUAAUUUUUGAGGAUACUGCUCCUGUGGCAAGCUAAAAAGUACAAAUUUUUGCACAUUUUGUCACAGAAUUUGAAUAAUUAAGAAACUGAACCAUUAAUGGGAUCAAAAACUGAAGCAGAAUAAUUCAAUUCCUUACAAUUCUCUUAAUUAAGAAAAGUUGUUCUCAGGACGUGUCUGAUCAGCCAAUUCAGUCUGACAGCCUCCUUUGUUUAACAAAAACUCUUAUAAUGAACAUGAAAUCCUAUUUGUGUCCAGUCCGGUGAGUUACAGAAGAGUUGAUGAGCUAUGCUGAGAUUCAUUUUUUCCCCCUGGUUCGUUACCUGGGGGUCCUGAGAGUAAGCAAGACUAAUUAAGCCUGAAGUCAUUUGAAUUCAUUUUAAUGGUCUUCAUCAAUUAACGGCUGCUUUCUCCAGUCUUAUUUAAUGGCAUUUUUAUUGAUCGGCUCCUGCGUUGUCACAUGUGGAAUACUUUUGACUGUGCCCAAGUUUAAUAUUCAGAAGUCCCACUGUAUUGAUUGAUUCUUUGUGAUGGUAAGCAAGAUCUAUGUCUGCUUGUCGCUCACGGUUAGCGGGGUUUCGGUAAUCGAUGUGCGCUGUUCACGCAUUACGUCAUUUAAUUAAAAACCCUCUUAAGGUUUCUGAACGGCUCUGAGACAAAGAUUUGGUUAUUGACCAUAAUUUAAUAAAGAGCUCAGCCAAACCCUAUGCAGUAUUUAAUGUAUUUGUUUUUUGAGAAUUCACUCAAGUGAGAUUCAAGUUUCUACAGUAGCUUGUGCACUGAUGUCUCAAAAUGAGUAACGUUUCAUCUCAACUUUUAGUUUUUGAGGUGAUAAAUUAUCAUUCAGAGUGAGGUGGGAAAACUUUUAAUGUAUCUCGCGUGAUCUCUUCAUUUAAAAAAUCAGCAAACUAUAGUUUGUGUUGCGAUUGGAUAACCCAUCUCACUGUUAUAAAGGCUGCCUAGCAACAUACACCUAGCAACAGUUAUGAUUUCUUACUCUAUGUAAAGACUUUAUAUAAAGAUUAUUAUUAAGUUUAAGCCUAUACCCAUAAAUAAAUUAAUGGAAUGAGUUUUAGUUUGAUCAAUUUACUUCAACAGUUUUUUUUUCUCUGUGUUAAAAUGCUCUGCUCCCAUUGGCUGUCGGUGUGCUCUGCACCAGCUCUCUGCUUCCCUUUUCCCCAUCAACAGCCUUGUUUCCUAACCUGUCUCCACCCACCGGAGGCAGCUGCGGCCAGUGAGCUUCACAGAAAAGGUGUUGGCGUUUAAUACGGACCCACCCAGCCAAACUGAUUGGCAGUUGGGUCAAACAAAGUCAUUUUCUUGGCUCGUUGCCUGGCGAACUCUGUAAACGUUUAAGGGAAAGCAGAAGGCAUUGGCCUCUCUGCACAGGGAAACCUCAAAUCUCACUGCACAAAACCUAUUUGUGCCUUCAACUUUGUUUUUGAUUUUUGCUGUUGGCUCGAUCUCCUAAGGGUCUAAAGCAAACUACUAACUGCACUGAGAGCAAUUAGAUCUGUAUGGUGUGUUUGGUUUAAUCAGCCUUUGUGCCUUUCAUUACAUUCACACAAAUAUGUUUGCAUAUGCAUUUCCCUGCAGUUUUUUCUGUCAUUUGGUGUAAGUUUUUCAAUUUUCACUACGAAAUCGUAAUACAUUUCACAAAUAAUUACAAAGAAAUGGCAAGUAACAUUGAAUUAAACAUGAAAGGAGACUGACAAAGUAUUUUCUUGUAAAACAUACACCAACAAUCAUUAACAGUUUUUAAUGGUAAGCUUUAUUUUAAAAAUCAUGCUCUUAGAGAACCUAUGUGUGCACACAUGACAUACAGCGACUGCUUUUGUGGCUUGUGAAUGAUGCUGAUGAAGAGUCGCUGCUCUUGUUCUUGUCUUUAAAAUGAACUGCUUCUUGAACUCUUAGGCAUUAACGAUGCAUUUGGAAUAUUUGUUUGAUAUUUUACUUUCAGCAGUAAUGGCUCGGUUCGUAUGGGGAGGUCAGUGGUUAGAGGAGAGGUCUGCAGUGCAGACCAUCACUGUUCUGGUUUCUCAUAUCAUAUGUGGAAGAUUAAAGGCAGAAUAUUCUGUCACCUUCACUGGCAUUGUUUACAGAGUUGAUGAAUAAUUACCAUGAAGAAGAAGAGCACCCAGUGUUGAUUUUCCAUAGCCAUCUGGUUCCUUCACCCCUGCGAGCAUUGAAUGCAGUUGGUUCGCCCCGCUGAAGGGUCCACAUUAUGGCUGUUUCACAUUACUGCGAUGUCUUGUCUGAUUUCCCCCCUGUCUGGUUUUCAGUGGUUCGAUCUGUCUUGCGGGAAAACCUCUCUUUGCUCAGUUUUUUUUUUUUUGCCGAUCUCAGUUGAACUUUGACCUAAAUGUCCUGCUUCUCCAGAUAUGAAAUGCCAUUCUGUGAGAUGACGAGGCUGUGCUGAUUACUGGAAAAAACGUUUAUAGGUAUAGUUCAUCCAAAAUUUUGAUCAUUUACUAACUUUAAUGUCAUUCCCGACCUGUAUGGCUUUCUUUUUUCUGUAGAACACAAAAGGAGACAUUUAGCAGAAUGUUUAAUUGCAAACAGUGAAAGUAGAUGGGGAUCAGGAGCAGCAGUGGUCACCAUUCAUUUUCAUCAUAGUAUUUUGGAAAUGUAUCAUGGUGAUACUGUGUUUUUUUAGGCACAUACCAUGUCAAUCUUUAACGAACUACUUCAAUUUGAUAGCAGAAGAGGUAGAAUAAACUGACAAUAAACAAUACAUAUACAGCAUUUGUUAAUCUUAAUUAACGUUAAUUUAUAAAUAUAUUUAAGUUUGUAAGUAUAAAUUAAAAUAGUUAAUGAUGAACAAAUUAGCAGUAAAAUUGUGAAUGUUUUAAUAAAACGAAAUAACAUAUUAAUUAACAUGAUCCUGGAUUAAUAAACGCUGUAAAAUGUAGGAAAUAUAAUGCUGUGACUAAUGGUAACAAACUGAACUUUAUUGUUACCGUAAGUGUUACUGUCAUACGUUAGAGUACCAUUUAAAUAGCAUGGUAAGUACCAUGGUAUAUAUAUAACUAUACCACUGCCUAAAUGACAUGUGACAGACAAGCCGUCCUCAUGUGUGUAUUUUUCAAUCAAGCAUGGAGCUGACACCACCUGGCUAAAUUAUCUGAGGAGAACACGCGCUUCGCUGCAUGAAUUCAACUCCUUCCUUGUUGAAAGCGAGCUGUGUUUUAGUGCUGUGGUCUGUCUGACUCAGGAUGAGAGAGGCGUCUCACACCCUGUUGCAGAAUUCAUAGGUCCUGCAAGUUCAGAGUGACGUGAACAUAGUUUAUCCUCGCAGGCCUGCAUCUCCUGAGCAUUUAUUAGCCUGCUGUGCAUGCACCAUCAGGAAACACACAUGUACAUACAGACCUGCCUUGUAUUAAAAGCCUCAAAAUUAUCUUCUGGCAAGCCUAAUCAGCCUAGUCAAAAAUGUAUAUUCUGUGAUACUGAAAUGCUUCUCGAUAUAUGUGUGUGUGCAUUCUGCCUUGAACUUAUACUAUAAAUUAAGAUUCAAUUUGCAGAUAAGGAUUAGAUUUAGAUAUCAUCUUUUCCCAGUUCAUUCUUCCUGUGUGCUCAGGGCCACGCCAGUAUAUACUCACAUGCAUCAGCUUGAACAGAUCAUCUCUUGUGGUUUGAUGCAGAUCUGCUGACGGUUUGUUUGCUGUCAGAGUGUGUUGGGAAAUUCAUCCAUCCAGGAACAAGGGUGGAUGAGUUCAGGCUGAUCGAAUCCAAACAUCUAGUAUUAUGAGCAGUAUCGGGGCUGUGUAUUUUUGUGUGGGAAUUUUUGUUUUGCUGAGAGAUUUGAGAGAUCAUCGGGAUGUCAUGACAUAUUUUGUGUUCAGUUCAGUGAGACGCUUCUCUUAAGUACACUUGUGUGUCCAAGAAAAGAUUCGAAAGAGCCGUGACAUGGCCUUUAACCAAAUUAGUUCCAGCAGGUCCAGAUUCUAAUCUAGAGUUCUUGACGUUUAUGGUGAAGCUUAAAGUGGCCCCAUAAAGUAAUAGGGUCUGGCUGCAGACAUGCACUUGCACUCUCAGACACCUGCUCUUCUUGCAAUCUUGUUGGAUUUUUUAUUUUAUUUAUUUGUUAUUUUUUUAAUUGAAUCUCUCAACAUUUCAAAAAGUAGCCAGGUGGUGAAGACAAAAAAGAAACAAAAAAUGACAGUGUCACUUAUAAUCAGCACCUGCGAUGUGGUGAUUAACCAAUUAAAAUGAAUAUAGUAUCAUAACGUACAGGGCCCUGCAAGUCACCUGUGGGAGAAAAAGACAAGACCCGCAAAUCUGUGGCCACAGAACAGCAGAAUAUGAACUCCUCCCAUUGAAAACCAUAAACACUUAACAUGGCUUAAUAAAUUGAAAUAUCAAAAUCGAUAUAUGGUUUAUUAAUAUAAUGUACAAGGCAAACAGAUUUAAAAACAUUAAAAAAAAUCUAUCUAUCUAUCUAUCUAUCUAUCUAUCUGUCUGUCUGUCUGUCUGUCUAUCUGUCUGUCUGUCUGUCUGUCUGUCUAAUUUUGUUUGUCUUGCCAAUCUUUGCCUUUCUAGUUAAAAAUAAGUUAUAUAAUUUUUCAAAAACCUUUUUCUUUGAACUUUUAAAUUAGAAUUUUGAUUUGAAUUGCAAUUUACAUUCUGCCUCAAUCGAAAUGCAGGAAUUUGAGGAAUUGAAUUCUAAUUAAAUUUAAUUAAAUCAAGUUAUCCAGACCUUAUUCUGAGGUAAAAUAAUAGUUAUGUUUCCCCUGUUAACCAUAGUUACUUCCUCUUGUUGUUUGGCUCUCACAUCAUUUGAGCUGAGUCUGUGGAGAUUCUGUACAGAGGUCAUAUGUGAUCUCAUGUGCGCAGCUUUAACAAGAUGCAGGAAACGCCCACAUACGCUCCUCGUUGUCUGUUCUUACACUUUAAUAAAGCCCUAGUGGGAAACUUCAUCAGCCCACUACAAUCUACAAACUACGAUCAUGACUCACGGAUUGAUGAAUCGCCGUCUGUGUGUUUCAAAUAAAGCUUCACUGAGUCACUCCAUUCACACACACAGGCAAUGGGAAACACGUAGUCCGACGGGGCGUUUUUUUCUCAACUACCGCCUGCAAGCGAAUGUGCUCUUCGCUGCAUUCCAGUGCAGCUUUGCUCGAGAAUUACUCCAAAUGCAUCGUUAAAAGACGUUUCCUCUUCUCUUAUCUUCCGAGUGACUUGGCAUCAUUGUUUGAAUCCAGCUGAUAUGUACAGUAUGUCCUGUUGUCCUUACGAUGGGCAUCGUGCCAGGUAGAGGUUGCCAUGACUCCCAACGCCACCCCUUUUCUAGCCCCCCCAGGAAGGUGGCAUAUUUUUUUCAAUGGAAUGCUCGGCGAAAGGGUUGUAUUUUAGACAAAAGAUGUCUACUCAACAUCAGCUGAAUGCUUCUGGGCUCGAGCAGCGUCAUGUGACCCACCGGUGAAGGUUUUGUGAAGGUUCCAGAACAGAAAAGGAGAAACUUGGAAAGCGAUGCUAGUGAGAGUCCUUUCUCUUUUUUUUCUUCACUUGCUUUUCCUUGCUGAGAAAAUGGCGGACCACACUGACUUUCUUAUUUAACAAAAGUAUAUUGGUGGCACUUUUAUAUGGCAGCCCCGUUUGUUAAUUUUUAAUCUUACGGGUUGUUUUAGUCGGAGUGAAAAUGGUGCUCGAAUUGUUUCCGAAACUCUAAAACAAGUCAUGAUUCUUUGAAUGAAUGGGUGCAAAAACCACCGCCCACUUCGGAAUGGCUCAAGUGUACCGUGGGUUGAACGUUUACGUCCGAUGAACAUCAGCAAGCAGCACAAAAAUCAGGAGCAGAUAUGGAUACAUCUCCACUGAAACUUGAGCAGGUUUCUCUCAGCCGAUGGGACUCUGUUCUGAGCGUCUUCCUCCAGUCAGAGCUUUUAACCCGUCGGAUGGCGGGUAGCUGUGGCCGCAGGUGCUCCUUUUACCUGGACGAAAAACUGUGUGAGCACUCCAGCAAUCCUCAAACACACACACACACAAACACACACUACCCAGACUUCCUUUUGUUCUUCAACACACAGUGAGCUCUGGCGGAAAUAUAAACCUAUCUGUAUCCUAAAAUGAAGUGUCUCUCUCUUUGUUUCUCUCAUAUUAAAAACAAUAAAUAAAAAUCUCAUUCAAUUUCUGCUGUGAAUGAGUGUCUAAAAUAACACUGAUCGAAUGAAUCUCAUUUAAUAUAAUAUACAGAUAUAAUUAUCUGUAAAAUUUUAAUUGUAUUGCGUUCAUCUAGAUAUUCGAACCGGAAAACAAGAGAAAUGUACUGAUUAAACAUAUAGCUUUCUUUAUUCAGUGCGAGGAAGCAAGUGUGUGUGUAUAAGUUUGCAGUUUCAGCAGGCGAGUUUGACACACAAAUCCACUCCCGCAUUAAAAGAGGCGGAGAACAGAGACAGAUCCUUUGACCUUCUGCUUUCACACACAGUCCAGUGACACACACACUCCGAUCACAAAUGCACAUUAAUCUUGUUAUCCCUUGCACAUUUGUAUAUUUAAAUGCUGUAAAUGUUUAAGACUUUCUAAUAAAUUGUUGAUAUUAUUGUAUUGAUUGUCUCAUUUUUGGUAUAUCUCUCUUCUCCUGUAUAUAAACUGUAUAUUUUAACUCUUUUAACACAUGAAAUCGUUAACCUAACACAUUUUCAGUACUCCCUCCAUAAGUGUAAGUGCAAAUUAAGCAAAGAAUCACAAUGAAACCUGGAUGUAGCUUUGCUGUUCGGUGUUCCAUGUUAAAGGUUGUAGCAGCAGCAUCACAGCAUUAGUUACAUGUGUGAAAGUGUGUGCGUAAAACCUUGCUGGCUUUGGGAAGUGUGUGUGUGACUCGGUGUGCUUGCAGACGUGUGUGUGUGCCUUUAUCCAUAGAGCGGCCAGCCAGGCUGCAGAUAUCAUCCAUCUCCUUGUCACAAAGCGCCAGGGUUGCUGGGUAGGCAGCAGACAGCCGCUCGGCGCUGAGGAUGGGAGCUGAAUCCUAAUUCCGCCGCUGCUCUCCCCCGCCUCCCACGACGGAAAAUCGUUAACCUCAGGAUUGGAGAACAAAGCAGAGAGCUUUAGCCAGCUAGCUGAUGUUAACGCAAAACGCCCCAACCACAGUCUCAGAGAGACAUGCUGAAAUCAUGCAAAGUAUGUUCAGAUGUAAAUCCUUCAGAGCUUCUGUGGUUUUUGAAGAGUAUAGCUCUGUUUCAAAACCCAGUGAGCUGCCUACAGAGUCAGCUGCCUUUUAAGACAGUGGGAUAUCAUGAGUGACUGAUUUGAAAUGCAUAUUUAUGAAUUAGGGAAGUCAUCAGGUUUCGACAUCAGUUGCAUUCAGGUCAUUUGG